rnacentral:rRNA from 1 species
UACGAAGGGGCGAGCGUUGUUCGGAUUUACUGGGCGUAAAGGGCGCGCAGGCGGCGCAUUUUGUCAGGCGUGAAAGCCCCGGGCUUAACCUGGGAACCGCUGCGUUUGAUACGGAUGGGCUAGAGUUCGGGAGAGGAGAGUGGAAUUCCCGAGUGUAGAGGUGAAUUCGUAGAUAUUGGGAAGAACACCGGUGGCGAAGGCGGCUCUCUGGACCGAGACUGACGCUGAGGCGCGAC